UAUUUUAUAUUAUUCUAAUUUAUCCAGGUCAGUCUGUGUAAAUUCCUUUUCAAUACUCUGCAUUUAUGAAUAUGGAAUUUACCAACCAAUAUUAAAAGGUUGACAAUGUGUUCAA